rnacentral:rRNA from 1 species
UACGAAGGGUGCAAGCGUUGCUCGGAAUUAUUGGGCGUAAAGGGUAGGUAGGUUGUCUUGUUUGUCUAAGGUGAAAUCCCAUGGCUUAACUGUGGAAGUGCCUUAGAAACGGCAAGACUAGAGUCCUAGAGGGGUUUGUGGAAUUCCCGGUGUAGCGGUGAAAUGCGUAGAGAUCGGGAGGAACACCAGCGGCGAAGGCGGCAAACUGGAUAGGCACUGACACUCAACUACGAAAGCGUGGGGAUCAAACAGG